rnacentral:tRNA from 1 species
GUAAUAGUAAUUUAAUGGCAAAAUAGCUCACUGUUAAUGAGCAAUCAUAAGUUCGAUUCUUAUCUAUUACG